UUUUUUGAGAUAGUUUUGCUUCUUUGAUCUAGUUGGCCUUGAACUCUCUCUAGCCCAGGCUGGACCUAAACUUGAAAUCCUGCUUCGGCCUUUCUAGUUCUGGGAUUCCAAGUAUGUGCCAUCUCACAGUCACUAUCUCCACUCACCCCCUUUCUUCCAGCCACAGCUCUGUUGGCAACUGCCCUCUACAUCCCAUUGUCACUUCCUGGGUGGCAGAGACCCCCACAUUGCUGGUGAACUUGUAGACCCCUUCAGUAAAAGCAGGUGCUUAAGCUCAAAAUUCAGCUUAGCUCUCACCAAAAUUGGUAGCAUCUGGGGAAGCCAGCAUGGCUGUGGACUCAGGGGUUGGGGGAGAUUUCCCUCGCCUCUCACUCUCCAUGGUCCCCUAGGUGUGCUUUCUGGACUCUGAAAACAAACUCAACAGUAUGUAAGGGUGGAGUUCACCAUGUCUCUGAACUGCUCCUGUGCCACCAGGGCCAGAGAUAGUCCCAUGAACACGACCCAUGCAGCAUGGAGAACAACUGGUAAUGCCCCAGUGGUCAUUCAGAAUGCCAUGGGAGCCCCUAAUGAAGCCCAGACCUGCUGGUCACGGGAAAAGGGAGCUAGUUCUUCCCAGCGAUCCUCGGGGCUCUGGAGACUGAUUCUGACAGCACAGCGCAGUGCGGCCCCCUCCAACUAACAGAAUCACUUCACCCUGCUGCAGCUUUGCUGGACCUGCAAACACUUGAUUAAUACAGAUUAAUACUGAACUGUCCUAGCAUGGUUGUAUCCUAUAAUCCGUGUGUGUGUGUGUGUGUGUGUGUGUGUGUGUGUGUGUGUGUGUGUGUGUUUUAGCUUGGGUGCGGCAUUGUCAUUUCUGCUCUUCAUUAGCUGCUCACCUUGGGCAAUGCUUGGCCUUUGUGGGCUUCUGUCUCAGCAUCAGUUAUUUCUUCAUCCUUGUGAAUUAGCUUCCCACUGCCUGGUACCUCCCUGGUAACUUUGUAGUUGAUUGCUAGUGCUGCCCUAACUCCUGAUGAGAAUUUGAAAAUCACAGGUCCCUUCUGCUGAUUCUGGUUCAUCCUGAUGGCCAAGCAUCAGGCCAAUGCUCAGAUGUGGACAGUGAACUGUUGUUUUCUUUAAAAACCCACUAAAGGACAGCCAAGGAACUUUUUAUUUUAUGUGUGUAAAACUGUGAAGAGAGUAAUAAAGGAAGCUGCAGGGGAUCUGGAAAGUAGAAAACAGACACAGCUGCUGUCCCAAGACUACCUCACAGCAAGGCCUGCGGUGCAAUGCUGGGUCAUCUGGAUAUGGGAGCGGGGAGCAUGCUAAGGUGCCUAUGGCUUCAAAGACUGCCCAACCAGGGACCACCCUCCCUCUGCCCUAGAACACAUCAAAAGGUGUGGGCAACUCCUGGGUUUUGAUGCUGAGUCCCACCUCUGCUGAGACAACUCACAUUCUGUAAGAGGCAGGGGAAGGUGGGGAUUGUAGCGUGCUCAAUGGGAGAAGGGGGGGGGGGAGGCCGGCCCGUGCGCGCCUCAUCCUUCAGCACCAUGCACAGCAUCACCUGCAGGGGACUUCUGAGCUCCUCACCCUGCAGUUCUGACCACUGGCUUCCUGGUGAGCCCCAAGCCAUGCAGAUGCUACUUGGUCCAGAUCACACACUUUGAAAAAGGCAACUUGGAGAGAAGAAAAGUGGUGCAAAUGAAGUCUAUCCAUGUUGUCUAAGGCAGAAGAGCACCUGCUGUAACCAGCAGAAUGCAAUAAAACCAAAAACUUCAUUUCUAAAUGACCCAAUGCCUCAUUAAGGUUUAGAAGGUAAAGUUGAGAAAAUGUAUGAGGAAGUAGAAAAGUUAAGAGAUGACAGGAAAGAAUAAGGUAGCUCCUUAGAGGAGCAGUCCAGCUCUCACAUUGUGGGAAAAAAUCCUGCACAGUAGAAGGGGAAUAGUGAACAGAGCCAUGCCCCAGCGCUGGGGGGCAAGUGCUCCCUAUUCAGUGGGCCCUAGAAAGUGAAAAGACUAAGCCAUUUUGAAUUGUCACUGAGAAAACAAGCUUCCAGAGAAAAUAAUAAAGGCCUCAGGUAACAGACACACAGUGAGACUCUGUCUCAAAAAAGUGGGGGGAAGGCUCAGGUGAAGGACCCAGCACCACCGAACUGGGACCUCAGAUGCCAGAAUGGUGUCUGGACUGUCUGCAUACCCAACUAGACCAGCACACAGGGAUCAAGCUUUUGGUUUUUUGUUUGUUUCUUAAACUUCCAUACCUGUUCUAUGAGGUAUGCCACAAGACCACAUUUAAAAAAAAA